rnacentral:lncRNA from 1 species
AAAUUUUCAAUUAUUUUUCAAAAUCAAGGUUUGUAUUGGUCAUUUGGGAUUAAUGUAAUAUCCUUCGUUAGUUUGUACAAUUAGUGUCACAUCUAUGAUUCAAAAUUUUAUAAAAUUUAUUUGAGUGAGUGUGCUAAGUGUAUAUAAGAUUUUGUAUCAAUCUAACAAUGCAAUUGAGAGAUAGCUGGGUUUUGAUACAAGAAAAUAUUAGAAGUUGGCAAUUUGAGGUUGGAUAGGGUUUUUUUUAUAUUUGAAGAUCUAUUAGUCAAAUCAAGGUAAAAUUUGGUAUGGUAG